rfam:Triticum aestivum genome assembly, contig: Triticum_aestivum_CS42_TGACv1_scaffold_471158_6AL
UUAAUACUUCCUCCGUCUUAAAAUCCUGUCUUAGAUUUGUCUAAAUACGGAUGUAUCAAGUCAUGUUUUAGUAUUACAUACAUCCCUAUCUAGGCAAAUCUAAGACAAGAAUUUUGAGACGGAGGGAGUAAUUA